CUGGGGACUGAACCCAGGGCUUUCCACCAAGCUACAUCCCCGGCCCUUUGUUUCGUUCUGGGACGGGAUCUCACUAGGUUGCUAGGUUGUACAGGCCGAGCUUGAACUUGCUACGCUCCUGUCCCUGCUUUCCACAGUGGCUGGGACUCUAAGUGUGCACCGCAUGCCCAGUUAAAUGUGAGCUGGUGUUUAGGGAGCUGCCUCUGCAGGUUGGAUCCUGAAUGUCCCCUAGAGGCCCACGGCUGCUGGCAGGAGCGGGACCUUCAGCAGGCGGGGUCAAGUGGAAGGAAGCGGCUUGUCGGGGUGACCUUGGAGGGGGCACUAGGGCGCACCCCUUCCUCCGCUUCGCCUCCCGACCUCCAGGCCGCCCUGCGUGAGCAGCUGUCGGGCGCUGGCCCUUUCACCAGCCAAGUGUCCUGACGGAGCGCAGACUGAAUGAACCACCGGCAACUGCGCCCCCAGCCACCUCUCCCCCUUCGGGGUGUGGUGCUGAGAUAGUGCUCCGGCAACGGGCACGUGGCGAGACAGUCACCGUCGCGGGAAGCUGGCACACCGCUGUCCUGCCAGGGGAAAGCCAAGCUGCAGGAACUCCCGGUCAGUUCCUCAAAGCCAUUGGCUUUAAACCAGCUUAUCUUUCAGGGUACCAUGGUCUCCCUUCAGCCCUACAUCUGCAGCAUGAGCACCACCAGGGCUUCCCUUGAAAAGUCUAAAUCAGAAAGAAAAACCCUGAGUGGCAUCAGAAAACCAAGUACCUAGAACCGUGUGCUUUCCCUUCUGCGUCCACCCGUGGACAACACUGGUUUGCUUCAGCUGCUCCUUUCCCGGGUAAGUAUCGCCCUGGUGGCCCACAGCGGUGGAGCUUAAGGACAGAACUUGGUCCUCAAGCUGGCCCAGGAGAUCUGUGCUGAGGCGAACUCUCGGGGUUGGCCGAAGCUGGCCUUUCUCCCAAAGAGACGCCGUAAUGCCGCUCCAUGCUGCCAGCCACGCAGAUUCAGGGCACACUACUUCAAACAAGGCCGCGCUGAACCAAGGCCGGGGACAGCGCCCACCGGAGUGCAGCUGGACGCGCGUCCCGCGUGCUUGGUGAGGGGCCCCAGAGAACUCACGCCUGGAGGCACCCACCGGCCCCUCCGGGAACUUCUCCCAACACUGCCACAGGCAGCGCUGCUCCUGGCAGAGGUGGCGGGCGUCGCCACCUGUCCUUCGGUCUGCUUUCCCCAGAGUCACUUAUCUGCCCAAGGCCAGGGACAGCUCAAGAAGCCAAAUAAAUACAGAAACCUUUCCCCAUAGCGCACCAGUUGGUUUUCCCAAGUUUGUACCGGCUGUAAAAAGAUGUUCCAACUGACGGGAAACAGUUCCCUGACCGACACACGUCCCUGGAGGGGACUGAGACUUCUCGCCCAUCCACACUGCAUGGCGGCUCGGAGUCAGCCGCCUCCCUGCGCGGGCCCCUCACGGCCGUCUCGGGUCAGCAGCUGUCCCGGUGAGGAGCACCACGAUGUAACCGAACCUGGGGAUCCUCUGGCAUACUCCGCCUCACCGCGAGACCCUCGUCCUCACCGUAAUUACAAAGCCUCUUUUCUUUAUCCCGGGGAACAAGGCCCGGGCACACUUGGAGGCAUUUUCUCCCUUACAACUUCUAGAAGUUCAAGAGGCAAAAUAUUUUUCAAUGUUGGGUGAUCCAUCCCGAAUGAUUCAUCUCAUCUAGCAAAGUGUCAUAGUUUUCUAUUGCUGCUGUAACCAGGGACCACAGAUUUCAUGACUUAUCACAAACGUCGUCCAGUGCAGUUGGGUAAAGGGUCCAGAAUCUGGCCUUGGUCUGACCUCGGCGGGGCUGUUUCUUCCGGACAGCCCAGGAGAAUAUGCUCAGCCUUCCAGCUUCGAGGGACUGCCCCGGCUUGGCUGAGCCGCACCCCGCAAACCCUGUUCUCCCAUCCCUCCUCCUUUGGCCUCCGGACCGCCCUCAUCUGAGCGCCCUCGUGAUCACGGCAGGGGCCACACGAGGAACACGGUACAGCCUGUGUCCAUCCUCCGUCACAUCUGCAAGGCCCCUCUGCCACGCAAAGCGAUGCCCAUGGGCUCUGGGAGUUAAGAAGUAGCUACCCUUGGGGCAGGAGCGAGGUGCUAUAACCCUGCCUAAUACCUACGGGCUUGAAUUCAUUCUAAGUAGUGUGGCACCGCCUACACUUUUCAAAAAUAAUUUCCUAUAUUAUACACGGCAGUGCGGGCCAGCUGACAGAAGUGCGUUUUCUGUCUAGCAGGCUGUGCUAUUUUAAUGUGAAAGCCUGUCUUCCUCUGACUCCCCUCCACCUCGCCUCGGACCACCACACUUCCUUCCUUGCCCUGGCCAAUUGCUUCAGUUCCCAGCAAGCAAAUUUACCUCAGGAUUCUUGGUUGCCAGAGUAACCUAGCUUGAACGGGUUUACAUUUUUUUGUAAAGUGUUGGCUCACAAAACUGAAAACUGCAGUGGUAUGGAAGGGCGUAGGCACAAAGGGAAGCAAAUACUCAGUUAUAGCUUCAGGAAUUUUUGAGUUAAUAUUUAUGCUGGGGAUGGAACCCAGGGCCUCAGGCAAGCCAGGCACAGGCCCGGAACCCUGAGCCACACCCAAGCCCAGUCUGUGGGAUUCUUCUCUGUCCCAGCCUUUGACCCGCCUCCUUUGGUCUCCAUUUCUUCUCAGGCAAAGGCGAAUGCUCUGAAGUAUUUGCAAAACAGACAACAAUAAAAAGACCACUCCAGAA